UGUUUCAUUUCGCACUAUAAAUACAUACACUCCUUCUCCAUCCCUCCCCCUUCCUUUCAUUUGUUUUCUUGUGCGUGCACACUAUACCUUUGUUUCUCGUUCUAAUAUAAAGUAAAAUGCCCUGGCGCCAUGACUCACAUUUGCGAAUAAACCAGCGGACCAUAGUUCCAAUCGCGCGUAAUGUCGAAUGACCCAUCUGU
rnacentral:lncRNA from 1 species